GGUCAAGUUAAUCAAAGCAUCAGGCGAAUGCCUAGGCACCAAGAGGCGAUGAAGGACGUGGUAAGCUGCGAAAAGCUUCGGGAAGGAGCAAACAUCCAACAACCCGGAGAUCUCCGAAUGGGAAAACCCAUACAGACAAACUCUGUAUAUCCCUAUCAGAACACAUAAGAUAGGGAAGCGAACCGGGCGAACUGAAACAUCUAAGUAGCCCGAGGAAAAGAAAGAAAACUCGAUAUCCUAAGUAGCGGCGAGCGAACAGGAAGAAGCCCAACCGUACAAACGCAAGAUCCGAGCUAGUCGAAUCAUCUGGGAAGAUGAACCAAAGAAAGUAACAGUCUCGUAGACAAAAGCAAAGAGAAGCAGUACAAAAGAGUAGCACGGAGCACGAGAAACUUUGUGUGAACACAGGGGGACCACCCCCUAAGGCUAAACACUCCUUGGUGACCGAUAGCGAACAAGUACCGUGAGGGAAAGGUGAAAAGAACCCCGGGAGGGGAGUGAAAAAGAAUCUGAAACCUGAUGUUAACAAGCAGCGAAAGUGGUCCUGCACCACAAUCGUGUACUUUUUGUAGAACGGGCCAGCGAGUUAUGGUAACAAGCAAGAUUAAACCUUACAGAGGUGAAGUCGAAGGGAAACCGAGUCUUAAAAGGGCGAAAGUUUGUUGCCAUAGACCCGAAACCGUGUGAUCUAUCCAUGGGCAGAGUGAAGUUAAAGUAAAAUUUAAUGGAGGCUCGAACCGGGUAGCGUUUAAAAGCUAUCGGAUGACCUGUGGAUAGGGGUGAAAAGCCAAUCGAACACGGAGAUAGCUGGUUCUCCUCGAAAUAGCUUUAGGGCUAGCCUUAACGAAAAAAUAAUUUGGGGGUAGAGCACUGAAUAGCCAAGGGGUGCAUAGCAUUACCAAGGCCUAUCAAACUCCGAAUACCAAAUUAGAACGUUAGGAGUCAGACAAUGUGGGAUGAGCUUCAUUGUCAAAAGGGAAACAACCCAGACCACCGGCUAAGGUCCCAAAAUAAUGGUUAAGUGGAAAAGGGGGUGAAAUUACCGAGACAACUAGGAUGUUGGCUUAGAAGCAGCCAUACAUUUAAAGAGUGCGUAAUAGCUCACUAGUCAAGUGAUUUUGCACCGAAGAUAACCGGGGCUAAACCAAAUACCGAAGCCGUGGAUCGCAAGAUGGUAGAGGAGCAAUGUAUAAAAGACGAAGCAGAAGGCGCAAGCCCCUGUGGAUAAUAUACAAGAGAGAAUGCUGGCAUAAGUAGCGCAAGGGAGGUGAGAAUCCUCCCCAUCGAAAACCCAAGGAAUCCUGAGGAAGGCUCGUCCACUCAGGGUAAGUCGGGACCUAAGGCAAGGCCGAAAGGCGUAGUCGAUGGACAACAGGUGGAAAUUCCUGUACCGAUUUGAAUCGUAAAAAAGUAAGUGGGGACGCAGAAGGAAAAAAGCAGCGGUCAGUUGGUGAACCGUGCAAGCACAAAGUCCGAGGAAUAGGCAAAUCCGUUUCUCAGAAAAGAUGAAGUGCGAAGCAGAUCGAAAACAAGUAGAGAAUUGCCCGUAUCCAAGCUGCCAAGAAAAGCCACUAUCAAGAAACAAAUCGCCCGUACCGUAAACCGACACAGGUAGGUGAGGAGAGAAUCCUAAGAUGAGCGGAAGAACCUUUGUUAAGGAACUCGGCAAAAUGACCCCGUAACUUCGGGAGAAGGGGAGCCUAACCAGAAAUGGAAGGCCGCAGUAAAAAGGCCCAAGCGACUGUUUACCAAAAACAUAAGUUUCUGCGAAGUCGAAAGACGAAGUAUAGGAGCUGACACCUGCCCGGUGCUGGAAGGUUAAGGGAAAAAGUUAGCGCAAGCGAAGCUUAGAACUGAAGCCCCAGUAAACGGCGGCCGUAACUAUAACGGUCCUAAGGUAGCGAAAUUCCUUGUCGGGUAAGUUCCGACCCGCACGAAAGGUGUAACGAUUUGGGCACUGUCUCAACAAAGGAUCCGGUGAAAUUGUAGUAGCGGUAAAGAUGCCGCUUACCCACGACAGGACGGAAAGACCCCGUGGAGCUUUACUGCAAGCUGACAUUGGAUUUUGAGUUUAAAUGUACAGAAUAGGUGGGAGACAAAGAAGCAUGUACGCCAGUAUAUGUGGAGUCACCUUUGGGAUACCACUCUUUUAAACUUAAAGUUCUAACUUCCUACCUUGAAUCAGGUAGAAGGACACUGUCAGUUGGGCAGUUUGACUGGGGCGGUCGCCUCCAAAAGAGUAACGGAGGCGUUCAAAGGUUCCCUCAGCACGGACGGAAAUCGUGCAAAGAGUACAAAGGCAAAAGGGAGCUUAACUGCAAGACCAACAAGUCGAGCAGAGACGAAAGUCGGACUUAGUGAUCCGGUGGUACCGCGUGGAAGGGCCAUCGCUCAACGGAUAAAAGCUACCCCGGGGAUAACAGGCUUAUCUCCCCCAAGAGUCCACAUCGACGGGGAGGUUUGGCACCUCGAUGUCGGCUCGUCUCAUCCUGGGGCUGUAGUAGGUCCCAAGGGUUGGGCUGUUCGCCCAUUAAAGAGGCACGCGAGCUGGGUUCAGAACGUCGUGAGACAGUUCGGUCCCUAUCCGUCGUGGGCGCAGGAAAUUUGAGAGGAGCUGUCCUUAGUACGAGAGGACCGGGAUGGACAAACCUCUGGUGCAUCAGUUGUACUGCCAAGUGCAUAGCUGAGCAGCUAAGUUUGGAAGGGAUAAGAGCUGAAAGCAUCUAAGCACGAAGCCCCCCUCAAGAUGAGAUUUCCCAACAAGUAAGGCCCCUUGAAGAAAACAAGGUAGAUAGGCUCAAGGUAGAAGAGUAGAGAUACUUUAAGCUAGAGAGUACUAAUAGGCCGAGGACUUGACCAA
rfam:Clostridiales bacterium KA00134 genomic scaffold Scaffold21, whole genome shotgun sequence.